AUUCCGGUUGAUCCUGCCGGAGGACAUUGCUAUUGGGAUUCGAUUUAGCCAUGCUAGUCGAGCGAGUUUAGACUCGCGGCGAAUAGCUCAGUAACACGUGGCCAAGCUCCCCUUCAGUCAGCGAUACCCUCGGGAAACUGAGGUUAACAGCUGAUACAAAACGCCAGCUGGAAUGCGGCGUUUCAGAAAGACAUCGCUGAAGGAUGCGGCUGCGGCCGAUUAGGUAGACGGUGGGGUAACGGCCCACCGUGCCAGUAAUCGGUACGGGUGAUGAGAGUCAGAGCCCGGAGACGGAAUCUGAGACAAGAUUCCGGGCCCUACGGGGCGCAGCAGGCGCGAAACCUUUACACUGCACGGAAGUGCGAUAGGGGAAUCCCAAGUGCGAGGGCAUAUUAGCCCUCGCUUUUCUCGACUGUAAGGUGGUCGACGAAUAAGAGCUGGGCAAGACCGGUGCCAGCCGCCGCGGUAAUACCGGCAGCUCAAGUGAUGUCCCAUAUUAUUGGGCCUAAAGCGUCCGUAGCUG
rnacentral:rRNA from 1 species